GAACGCUAGCUACAGGCUUAACACAUGCAAGUCGAGGGGCAGCAUGAACUUAGCUUGCUAAGUUGAUGGCGACCGGCGCACGGGUGAGUAACACGUAUCCAACCUUCCGUUUACUCAGGGAUAGCCUUUCGAAAGAAAGAUUAAUACCUGAUAGUAUGGUGAGAUUGCAUGAUAGCACCAUUAAAGAUUUAUUGGUAAACGAUGGGGAUGCGUUCCAUUAGGUAGUAGGCGGGGUAACGGCCCACCUAGCCGACGAUGGAUAGGGGUUCUGAGAGGAAGGUCCCCCACAUUGGAACUGAGACACGGUCCAAACUCCUACGGGAGGCAGCAGUGAGGAAUAUUGGUCAAUGGACGAGAGUCUGAACCAGCCAAGUAGCGUGCAGGAUGACGGCCCUAUGGGUUGUAAACUGCUUUUAUAAGGGAAUAAAGUGAGUCUCGUGAGACUUUUUGCAUGUACCUUAUGAAUAAGCAUCGGCUAACUCCGUG
rnacentral:rRNA from 1 species